CCUUCGCCCUGGAUCGUACUCCACACAUCCAUUGCAGAGUGAUAGAGUUUUCUUCUUGUCCUUCUUGUUGCCCACCCAGCACUCCAGGAUACUUCUUCUUUUGUUUUUGGAAUUGUUCCUUUCUUGGAUAAUGUCUUCCGUGUACUAUUCAUGAAGGUACUCUGCCCCCGUUUGCUCAAGGUGAGGACAUGGACCUAAGCUCCAUCAAUCACCUCCAGUGAUUAGAAUAUGAAAAUUCCCUGGAAUAUGAAAAUAGAAGUGGGUAAAGCUGGCGAUAGGGUGCGAUUUCCCGCAAUGAAACUGAAGACUGCGAACAGCUGAAUACGGCUCUGGAGGUCCCACGUGGCGGAGCUCCCAGCCUCAGCUCCCAACAGGGACAGAGAGAGACCUGCCUAACUUGGGGAAAGGCGGAAAAGUCGCCCAGAGGCGAGGUCUGCAGCGCCCAGAGUCCCCACUCUUACCCCAGAGACUGGAGGCAAAGACAGCAAAGAGCCAGAUCCGCUUUGAGGGAGAAAGAGCCUGCACCGGGAACCACUCACUUUCAUUGAUGGUUUAGGGUUGACCAACCAGACCGACUCCCCAGGCUGAGUUUAGGACAACUCCGACCCCUACUGGCCUGAACAGAUACUCGGGAUUCUUCGGAGAGCUGAGAGAGGAAAGGACCGGAGGAAAAGAACAUGAAAGACACUCAACCUUGUGCUCCAACCCAGGACCCGAGAAACUGCAUUCUCACCCAGCACGACAGAGCUUACCCAUGUGCCUUAGGAGAAGGCUAGAAUUGUGGAACCCCAGAACUGAUCUCUGCUGUCUCUUCUCCAGGAGGAGAAUAAAUGAUGGAGGACUUCACAAAGGAAUGACCCCCGCUGAUGGCUGACAUCCCCAGCAAUUAGAACAGAGGAGGAAACCUACAGGGCAGCAGAAGCCCUACAGACCCAAAUUGUGGGAGCAGGACCCACAUCAGGAACCUGAGCUGAGUCCACACUGAAAGCAGAGAACAGAGGGAGCAGAUGGAAGACUGGAUAUCAGCAGGUUUGGGGGAUGAGAAUAACACAAAGAAAGACAAGGCAAUGGUGGAGCACAUGGUUGCAAAAGAACAGAAGAAUAAGGACCAUUCGAGUUCAGAAAAAUCAGGGGAACCUGAGGAAUGAAUACACCAGCAUCCAACUCUGCAAGGAACUGCCUGAGCUGAGCACAGAGGACCAGGAGAGUAACUUAGUCCAUAGUGAACCUGUGCCCCUGCCGAGGAGCCCCACAGGACAGAUUGGGAUUUGUUUGUACUGCUGGAAACACCCAGUUCUCAGAGGAGGAGGAUGCGACCAUGAAGCUCUGCCCCAGUCCCCUAGUUUCAACCUUGGAGCUGCCUUCAUGGUGGAGGUCUUCCAAGAAAGUGUGGGCUUAGAGGGAUCAAGGAUGUUUGGAUAAGGGUUGGAGAUGUCCAUUCUUACUGCAGGGAGUUAUGCCCUUACAAAUCUGACCCUAAUCAUGGCUCUAGGUGCCAAAUAACAAAGCAAACCACUUACUUCCAUUGGUUGUACAGAAACAGGAUGCUCUUAAUGCACAUAACUGGAAAGUUACUCUGCCUGUAGGGUUAUGCAAUAGAACAGAUAACUUGGGCAGUGGCCCAAGAAGGGGAUGGGUUGAGUUUGUGACAGUGUCUCGUAGGUCUUGGAGAAGAAGGUUUGGGGCUUGAAGUUGCAGGUGGGCUGGCUCAUGGUAAUAUUACACAAUCUUGGGAAAACAUGUCUAGCACAAUUUUGGAUUCAAUGGACACUAAAUGUUUAGUCCAUGAACUGCAGUCAUUCUUUCACAGAUUAUCCACUAUUGGCUUCAAACAAAAGUGACUUUUCUAUUCAUAGAUACCAAGGAGCACCUGGGUGGCUCAGUCAGUGAAGCAUCUGACUCUUGGUUUCAGCUCAGUCAUGAGCUGGUGGUAGUGGGAUCAACACUGAGUUGGGCUCCAUGCUCAGCACAGAAUCUACUUCAGCUUCUUUGUCCCUCUCCAUCCCCCUCUAUUCUCCCAGAUCAUACUACUCUCUCUAAAAUAAAUAAAAUCUUUAAAAAAUAACAAUGCUCACAAAUAUGCAGGUUUAAACACAUCCUAUGAUGAUUUUGAUGAACAACAAGGUAAAGCAGAUUUUUUUAUUUUUUUUCCAACAGAGAGCAGAA